rnacentral:lncRNA from 1 species
UAAAUUUUUAUUUUAUUUUUAUUUUUACGGAUUGAGGCUAUUAUUUAGUUCAUUUUCUAAAUGAAUAAAGCGGUAGCAUAUUAUUUCUCUCUCUCAAUACAUAUGUAUAUAGCUAUUAUAUUAUUGGAAGCAUACAGAAUUUGAUAUUUUCGAAAUUUUCACUCUUGGAUUAAGAAUUAUACAGUUGGCAUGACUAUGGUCCCCCAGGGUUGAAUAGUAUUUUUAGAGUUGAGUGGUCCCUACAGGACAUUAGUAUAUAUUAAUCCAAAUGUUAGAAAUAAUUAAAGUGACUAAUCUAAAGGCUAAAAAAUUGGAAACAUCAUAUUCUCUAUACUUCCGAUAACAUAGUAACUUUACUAUAUAUAUAUAUAUAGAGAGAGAGAGAGAGAGAGAGAGAGAGAGAGAGAGAGAGAGAGAGAGAGAGAGAGAGAGGG